rnacentral:lncRNA from 1 species
AUGUUCUUGGGCCCGAUUGCAGGCCCGGUAUUUUGGGCCCAAUUUUGGGCCCGCUACUGUUAUUAAUUAAGAGGCUGCCACCUCUUGUUUUGUUUCAAAAACGUUGCAAAGUUUCAUUGGAGGAGAGGGGAGGUGGCAGCCCCUUUUCUUCAUUUAAAUGGACAAGCAAGUGGAGAAAUGGAAGGGGGAUGGUUUUUGGGAUGAAAAAUCUCUGCACCCCAAGUCCCAAUCCAAAAUAAAGAAGAAAAGAAAAUUAUUACAACAAGUUACAAACACGAGCUAAACCUAAGUACAACCGAUUCUACCGUCAUUCACUUUGUCGUCAUUCGCAAGGGACUACCACCUGAAACACGACAAAAAAAAGAAGCUUCGAUUCAAAGGUAAUCAUCCAAACAUUCCUAUUCAAAAGCAUUCAUGCAAUAUUCAUACAUACAUUUGGUGGCACUUAUACUCUCCUAAACAUCAUCCUCGAAUAUUCAUUAUGACUAAUCAAGGAAACGUUUCAUGUUGGUAAGCGUCCUAGCAAACCCUAAAAUAAGAUUCAAACUUAACAAGUUGCUGAAAUUUUAUCAAGGAUGACACUAAAUGAUAACAUUUCAAAAAUAUGAGUAAUUUUUUAAAAAGUUCAGAUUUCUAAAACUCAUCAUAACAACAAAAUAGUCCAGAUUUUAGUUCAAGCAACCUAAUCAAACAAAACUAUCAUCAUCAACUAAGUAAAAUCAGAAUGAGUGAAGGGUUUAACCUUUUACCUUUAUCGUCCUUUGCUCCAGCGAGUCCGUCUUCGACGGAAACUUUUUCUGCCUCUCCGGCUCCACCGAUCCCCGUCUUUAUUGAAACAUAAACCAACAUAA